UUGGUCAGUUGGUAGUUGACCGCAUGUUUGAUUUUGUUGAAAAAGCUUUUGGAUAUUUUGAAAAAAGCUUGCAACUGUCAUUUAUCAGAUCAUUUAUACAAAGAUAGCACAAGUGCCAGCAAUCAUCAGCCCCCAGAAAAAGCAAACGAAUGUUUCUUGGAGAUUUAGUUUCAAGCAUGCAGCUACAUAACUUGAAAAACCCAAAAGAGAAAGGGAAGAAAAAGAAAAGGAAUAGUAUACAAAGAAAACCAUGUAUCAAGAUUCGCACAGUUAACGGCGUAAAAGGUCCUACAUACAUGACAUAUAUGUUUAAAAUGUUGAAGUAAAUUCUAUCAAGUGGUUAUUUAGAGAUGAGUGAUUUUAUCAUAUUUGAUAUUACAA